GCAAAAUUAUGUCAAGCGAUGUCAAGGAGUCAGCCCAAAUUUAGUCAAGAACUCAAAUUUAGUCAAGAAACAGUCAAAUUUGUUCAAGAAAAGCAAAAUUAGUCAAGCGAAGUCAAGGAGUCAACCCACAUUUAGUCAAGAAAGGUCAAAUUUGCUCAAGAAAAGUCAAAUUUAGUCAAGCGAGAAAUAUGCGAAGUCAAAUUUAGUCAAGUCAAAAUUGUCAAGCGAAGUCAAGAAAUCAACCCUCAAGGCAAGACCGGGCAAGCCAAAACGCCCCAACCCCUUCCUUUGCCUCCCCGCCCUCACACCUCUCCUCUACCUGUCCAAUGAAAGUCGAGCCGGCAGGUGAGGGGCUCCUAUGGUCACCUGGAGAAGAGGAAGGAAGGAAGAAUGGGAGGAAGAAGAUUGAGAGGAAGGAAAGAAGGAAGAAAGAAUGGAAGGAAGGAAGGAAGUAUGGGAGAGGAAAGAAGGAUUAGAGGAAGGAAGGAAGAAGAUUGAGAGGAUGGAAGGAAGGAAGAAAGAAUGGAAGGAAGGAAGUAUGGGAGAGGAAGGAAGGAAGAAGAUUGAGAGAAAGGGAAGAGCAAGGAAGGAUAAAAGGAGGAGAAUGAGAGAAAGAAAGAGAAUUGGAAGAAGAGAGAACAAUGUAAGGAAGGAAGGAAGAGAGGAGAAUGGGAGAGGAAGGAAGAGAGAAGAAUGGGAAGGAGAGAAUGAAAGAAGAAUAGGAAGGAUAGAAGGAAGGAGACAAGAGAGAAGAAUGAGAGAGGAAGGAAUGAAGGAGUGAAGGAAGGAAAGAUACCCUACACUGUUUGUCUCGAGAAGGAAAAGAAAGAAUGAAAAUAAGGUUGCAAUGUGUUUAUGAAGUUUGAGAAGGAAGAAAUAAAUGAAGGAAGGAAGGAAUGAAAGCAAGUGCCAGAUAAAUUUAGAAAGAAAGAAAGAAAGAAGGAAGGAGAGGAAAGGAAGUUAAAAAGUGCCGGAUAAAGAGAGAAAAUGUAAACAAAGAGGAGAAAUAGAAGGGUUGAAAUAAGAAAGAAAGGAGAUGAAAGAAAAAGAAAGGAUUAAACGAAAUAGAGAAAGUGUAAAAAAAAGGAGAAAUAGAAGGUUUGAAAUAAGAAAGAAAGGAGAUGAAAAUAAAGGAAAAGAAUGGAUGAAAAGAAAGAAAGUUAAAAGCAGAGAAAAAGGUAGUGAAAGAAGAUGAAAAUAAAGGAAAAGAACGGAUUGAACGAAAGAGAGAAAAUGUAAAAAAGUAGAGAAAUGGAAGGUUUGAAAUUAGAAAGAAAGGAGGUGAAAGGAAAGGAUGAAAAGAAAGUAGAGAAAAAGGUUUAAAAUCAGACAAAAUAAGAUGAAAAAAAAAGAACGGAAUAAACGAGAUCAGAAAAAGCUGUAAAAAGGAAGAGAAGUUUUAAAAUAAGAAAAAAAAGAAUUAAAAGAAAGAAGAAAGUUUAAUUUAGACCAGAAAAGCUUUAAUCAACAAGGAAAGGAAUUGGUUUAAAAAGUAAGGAAGAUUUUGAAAAACAGCAGAAACGCGACGUAAACGAAAACAACAGUGAUGGUACAAGAUUGGAACGCGUACGAAACAGAGUGAAAGUGAGAUUUAAACUUACAAUGAGGGUUUUUAAGGGUAAGAAAAGAGGUUUAAGCAAUGAGAAAGAGGUUAAAGUUACAAAGAGGGUUUUAAGGGUAAGAUAAAGGGUUUGGACAGCAAGAUAUAGAUUUGAACACCACGGGGAGAGGUUUGAGAAGUAAGAAAGAGGUUUAAGAAAGUAAGAAAGAGGUUUUAGAAAGUAAGAAAGAUAUUUGAAUUGUAAAGAAAAGGGGUUGAAGAGUAAGUAAGGGGGUUUCAAGUGAGGGAAAGGUUUAAACACUAAGAAAGAAGGUUUUAUCAAGUUACGAAGAGUGUUGACUAGCAAGAAGGGUUUAAGAAAGUAAGAAAGAUAUUUGAAUUGUAAAGAAAAGGGUUUGAAGGGUAAGUAAGGGGGUUUUAAGCGAGGGAAAGGUUUAAACACUAAGAAAGAAUGUUUUAUGAAGUUACGAAGAGUGUUGACAAGCAAGAAAAGAGGUGAAACAAGUUAACAAAUGGUUUAGCUCUAAGAAAAGGGAUUUAAACCAGUUAGAAAAGAAUUAAACGGUAAGGAAGAGGUAUUUGAACUUACGAAGAGGUUUAACAAGCAAGAAGGGAUUGAAACUAGUUAAUAUAGAGGAUUUAGCACUAAGAAAAGGGAUUUAAACCAGUUAGAAAAGAAUUAAACGGUAAGGAAGAGGUAUUUGAACUUACGAAGAGGUUUAACAAGCAAGAAGGGAUUGAAACUAGUUAAUAUAGAUGAUUUAGCACUAAGAAAAGGGAUUUAAACCAGUUAGAAAAGAAUUAAAUGGUAAGGAAGAGGUAUUUGAACUUACGAAGAGCGUUAACUAGGAAGGAAACAAACAAACAAGGUAAAAAAAAAAAAAGAAAAGGUCAAAUCAUUAAAGAGCUGAAACGAGGUAAAAAACAAACAAAGAAAUAAGGUCAAAUCAGUAAAGAGCUGAAACGAGGUAAAAAACAAACAAAGAAAUAAGGUCAAAUCAUAGAGCUGAAACAAGGUAAAAAAUAAACAAAGAAAUAAGGUCAAAUCAUAGAGCUGAAACGAGGUAAAAAAUAAACAAAGAAAUAAGGUCAAAUCAUAGAGCUGAAACGAGGUAAAAAAUAAACAAA